AGGAGAUGACGAUCCAUUCCUGGGUGGACGGCCAGCGUUCCAUCUUCACUAACACGAUAUAGUUGAAGAGCAUCAGCCACUUCACACCUUGAACUUGAAUCCUCUCCAGCUGGAUACCUGAAAUAGGCUCUCAACACAAGCAGGGUCUAUGAGCCAGUUGGACCCCUGCCUCCUUUCUUCUUGGACCAGAAGAGGACCCAACCUGCUCCUAGAGAAACUUGCUACGAUGCAGAAGUGAGAUUAUAUGGAAAUGAAGUGUGUCCUACCUUUCAGAAACUUGGGAGAGUAGGAGAGACCAUUUUUGGAAAUCUGGUGAGAAAUACUCUUACAGAGAAAAACACAGCCCAAAGCACGUGGGACCUUCAAUCUGAAAUUGAAUUGUAUUGUUAAGCAUGUCUGGUGAUUCAAAAGCCUGGCAUACCUCAUUUCCAGUCACUUCCUCGAGGCCUGGGCUUUGUCACUAUGUGAAGAUGAAUUUUGGAGAAUCAUGUAAACAUAAUUGAACAGAUCUGGGGGAUCCAGUCUGAUGGGUUUGCUGAGGCCAAUCCAGUCAGCCACGCAGAACGGUGCUGGACACACAGGCUCCACCGCCCGCCCCCGCCCCCCCCCUCCAAAGAGGCAGCCUCCCAGCAAGCUGCCAAUGACAUAAGCAAAGCAGUGUGUCUCAAGUGUCUCUAAUCAUAAGAUUCGCCUGGGAAGCUGGUUAAACUAACACAGCCUCUUAGGUUCCUUCCUGAAGACUGGAUUCCAAGGGUCUAUGAUGGGGCUAGAAAUUUGCAUUUCUAACAAAAUGCCCUUGUCAUCAUGGAUGUUUUAGAGAUAUUGAUAGAUACUAUUAUUUCUACUGAUUUCUGCUCUCAGGAGUCUGUAAACUUUUUCUGCAAAUGGCCAACUGGUUAACUUUUAAGGCUUUGUAGACCCGAUAGUCUCUCUCUCUGUCUCUCACUACUCAUCAACUUGAUGUGGUAGCACGAAAGCAGUCAGCCUAUUGCUAAUGGUAAAUGAGGUUUAGCCUAAAGCUGCCUCCUUACAUAUUUUAAGUUCGGCCUAAAGUUUUCUCUGUACUUUGUGAACUAUAACAAAUGAAGGUAUAACAAGACUAAUCACCGAGUUUUGGUCAAUCAAAUGUAGCCAACUGCUCAAACUGUGUUCAAAUAAGGCAAACGCUGAGCUGUAACCAAUCCAGCUGUUUCUGUACCUCACUUCCGUUUUCUGUAUGCCACUUCCCUUUUUUUGUCCAUAAAUCUUCCACCACGUGGCCCUGCCAGAGUCUCUGAGCCUACUCUGGCUUGGAAGACUGCCCAAUUCACAAAUCGUUCAUUGCUCAAUUAAACUCCUUUAAAUUUA